AAAGGGAGACCUAAUUCGGGUAGAAGACGAAAAAAUAGUAGUCGAAACCAAGAAUCAAUCCCAAAAGGUCGGAACGAGGUAUGUGGCUUUCAAACUAGGUUCUGGGUUCACAAAAGACCUGAAUCAGGAACAAGGGCUAUUAGCUCAGGUGGUUAGAGCGCACCCCUGAUAAGGGUGAGGUCCCUGGUUCGAGUCCAGGAUGGCCCACCUGCACAGGUGGCAAAAACAAGAGAAGCGAGGAAUCAACACCUUAUCUUACUGACAUAGUAAGAGAGAAUGCUGGCUCUGAGUAAAGAGUCCAGAGGAACCUUGAAAACUGCAUAGAGCUAGGUGAAAAAGCCAAAAAAGAAGACCGCAAG
rnacentral:tRNA from 1 species